rnacentral:rRNA from 1 species
GAUGAACGCUGGCGGCGUGCCUAAUACAUGCAAGUCGAGCGAACGGACGAGAAGCUUGCUUCUCUGAUGUUAGCGGCGGACGGGUGAGUAACACGUGGAUAACCUACCUAUAAGACUGGGAUAACUUCGGGAAACCGGAGCUAAUACCGGAUAAUAUUUUGAACCGCAUGGUUCAAAAGUGAAAGACGGUCUUGCUGUCACUUAUAGAUGGAUCCGCGCUGCAUUAGCUAGUUGGUAAGGUAACGGCUUACCAAGGCAACGAUGCAUAGCCGACCUGAGAGGGUGAUCGGCCACACUGGAACUGAGACACGGUCCAGACUCCUACGGGAGGCAGCAGUAGGGAAUCUUCCGCAAUGGGCGAAAGCCUGACGGAGCAACGCCGCGUGAGUGAUGAAGGUCUUCGGAUCGUAAAACUCUGUUAUUAGGGAAGAACAUAUGUGUAAGUAACUGUGCGCAUCUUGACGGUACCUAAUCAGAAAGCCACGGCUAACUACGUGCCAGCAGCCGCGGUAAUACGUAGGUGGCAAGCGUUAUCCGGAAUUAUUGGGCGUAAAGCGCGCGUAGGCGGUUUUUUAAGUCUGAUGUGAAAGCCCACGGCUCAACCGUGGAGGGUCAUUGGAAACUGGAAAACUUGAGUGCAGAAGAGGAAAGUGGAAUUCCAUGUGUAGCGGUGAAAUGCGCAGAGAUAUGGAGGAACACCAGUGGCGAAGGCGACUUUCUGGUCUGUAACUGACGCUGAUGUGCGAAAGCGUGGGGAUCAAACAGGAUUAGAUACCCUGGUAGUCCACGCCGUAAACGAUGAGUGCUAAGUGUUAGGGGGUUUCCGCCCCUUAGUGCUGCAGCUAACGCAUUGAGCACUCCGCCUGGGGAGUACGACCGCAAGGUUGAAACUCAAAGGAAUUGACGGGGACCCGCACAAGCGGUGGAGCAUGUGGUUUAAUUCGAAGCAACGCGAAGAACCUUACCAAAUCUUGACAUCCUUUGACAACUCUAGAGAUAGAGCUUUCCCCUUCGGGGGACAAAGUGACAGGUGGUGCAUGGUUGUCGUCAGCUCGUGUCGUGAGAUGUUGGGUUAAGUCCCGCAACGAGCGCAACCCUUAAGCUUAGUUGCCAUCAUUAAGUUGGGCACUCUAAGUUGACUGCCGGUGACAAACCGGAGGAAGGUGGGGAUGACGUCAAAUCAUCAUGCCCCUUAUGAUUUGGGCUACACACGUGCUACAAUGGACAAUACAAAGGGCAGCGAAACCGCGAGGUCAAGCAAAUCCCAUAAAGUUGUUCUCAGUUCGGAUUGUAGUCUGCAACUCGACUACAUGAAGCUGGAAUCGCUAGCAAUCGUAGAUCAGCAUGCUACGGUGAAUACGUUCCCGGGUCU